AGAGUUUGAUCCUGGCUCAGAACGUACGCUGGCGGCACGCCUAACACAUGCAAGUCGAACGAAGUAGCAAUACUUAGUGGCAGACGGGUGAGUAACAUGUAGGUAUCUGCCCUUUGGCCUGGAAUAACACGAGGAAACUUGUGCUAAUACCGGAUAAGUCUUUACGGAGAAAGCUUUAUGCACCAUUGGAUGAGCCUGCACUUGAUUAGUUUGUUGGUGGGGUAAUGGCCUACCAAGACUGUGAUCAAUAGCUGAUUUGAGAGGAUGAUCAGCCACAUUGGGACUGAGACACGGCCCAAACUCCUACGGGAGGCAGCAGUGGGGAAUCUUGCACAAUGGAGGAAACUCUGAUGCAGCGAUGCCGCGUGAGUGAAGAAGGCCCUUGGGUUGUAAAGCUCUUUCGUCGGGGAAGAAAAUGACUGUACCCGAAUAAGAAGGUCCGGCUAACUUCGUGCCAGCAGCCGCGGUAAUACGAAGGGACCUAGCGUAGUUCGGAAUUACUGGGCUUAAAGAGUUCGUAGGUGGUUGAAAAAGUUAGUGGUGAAAUCCCAGAGCUUAACUCUGGAACUGCCAUUAAAACUUUUCAGCUAGAGUAUGAUAGAGGAAAGCAGAAUUUCUAGUGUAGAGGUGAAAUUCGUAGAUAUUAGAAAGAAUACCAAUUGCGAAGGCAGCUUUCUGGAUCAUUACUGACACUGAGGAACGAAAGCAUGGGUAGCGAAGAGGAUUAGAUACCCUCGUAGUCCAUGCCGUAAACGAUGUGUGUUAGACGUUGGAAAUUUAUUUUCAGUGUCGCAGGGAAACCGAUAAACACACCGCCUGGGGAGUACGACCGCAAGGUUAAAACUCAAAUGAAUUGACGGGGACCCGCACAAGUAGUGGAGCAUGUGGUUUAAUUCGAAGAUACGCGCAGAACCUUACCAACACUUGACAUGUUCGUCGCGACUCUAAGAGAUUAGAGUUUUCGGUUCGGCCGGACGAAACACAGGUGCUGCAUGGCUGUCGUCAGCUCGUGUCGUGAGAUGUUGGGUUAAGUCCCGCAACGAGCGCAACCCUCACUUUUAGUUGCCAUCAUUAAGUUGGGCACUCUGAAAGAACUGCCAGUGAUAAGCUGGAGGAAGGUGGGGAUGACGUCAAGUCCUCAUGGCCCUUAUGGCCAGGGCUUCACACGUAAUACAAUGGACGGUACAGAGGGUUGCCAACCCGCGAGGGGGAGCUAAUCCCAUAAAACCAGUCGUAGUCCGGAUCGCAGUCUGCAACUCGACUGCGUGAAGUCGGAAUCGCUAGUAAUCGCGGAUCAGCAUGUCGCGGUGAAUACGUUCCCGGGUCUUGUACACACCGCCCGUCACACCAUGGGAGCGGGUUCUGCCAGAAG
rnacentral:rRNA from 1 species